GAUGAACGCUGGCGGCGUGCCUAAUACAUGCAAGUCGAGCGAACGGACGAGAAGCUUGCUUCUCUGAUGUUAGCGGCGGACGGGUGAGUAACACGUGGAUAACCUACCUAUAAGACUGGGAUAACUUCGGGAAACCGUAGCUAAUACCGGAUAAUAUUUUGAACCGCAUGGUUCAACAGUGAAAGACGGUCUUGCUGUCACUUAUAGAUGGAUCCGCGCUGCAUUAGCUAGUUGGUAAGGUAACGGCUUACCAAGGCAACGAUGCAUAGCCGACCUGAGAGGGUGAACUGCCACACUGGAACUGAGGAAGCGUCCAGACACCUACGAAAAGCACCAAUAGAGAAUCUUCCGCAAUGGGCGAAAGCCUUACGGGGCAACGCCGCGUGAGUUAUGAAGGUCUUCGGAUCGUAAAACUCUGUUAUUAGGGGAGAACAUAUGUGUAAGUAACUGUGCACAUCUUGACGGUACCUAAUCAGAAAGCCACGGCUAACUACGUG
rnacentral:rRNA from 1 species